rnacentral:rRNA from 1 species
CGAGCUUAGUUUUGUAGCAAUACAGAGCUGAGCGAGUGGCGAACGGGUGCGUAACACGUGAGCAAUCUACCUUAAAGUGGGGGAUAGCUCGCCGAAAGGCGAAUUAAUACCGCAUGUGGUUGUAAAACCAAAGCCGGGGCAACCUGGCGCUUUUAGAGGAGCUCGCGGCCUAUCAGCUUGUUGGUGAGGUAACGGCUCACCAAGGCUUCGACGGGUAGCUGGUCUGAGAGGACGACCAGCCACACUGGAACUGAGACACGGUCCAGACACCUACGGGUGGCAGCAGUCGAGAAUUUUUCUCAAUGGGGGAAACCCUGAAGGAGCGACGCCGCGUGGAGGAUGAAUGCUUUCGGGUUGUAAACUCCUGUCAUUUGGGAACAAAGCCUUACGUUAACUGCGUGGAGGUUUGCUAGUACCAGAAGAGGAAGAGACGGCUAACUCUGUGCCAGCAGCCGCGGUAAUACAGAGGUCUCAAGCGUUGUUCGGAUUCAUUGGGCGUAAAGGGCGCGUAGGCGGCGGGGUAAGUCGGGUGUGAAAUCUCAGAGCUCAACUCUGAAACUGCACUCGAUACUGCUUUGCUCGAGGACUGGAGAGGAGAUUGGAAUUCACGGUGUAGCAGUGAAAUGCGUAGAGAUCGUGAGGAAGACCAGUGGCGA